GCCACUGGUUUUCAACCUUCCUAAUGGUGAG
rnacentral:piRNA from 1 species